GACAGAGGGGUGCAAACGUUUUUUUUUUUUUGUUUCGGAAUUACUGGGCGUAAAGCGCGUGUAGGCUGCCUCAUAAGUCGGAUGUGAAAGCCCUGGGCUCAACCUAGGAAGUGCAUUCGAAACUGCGAGGCUUUGAGUCCUGGAGAGGAAGGCGGAGUUCUCGGUGUAGAGGUGAAAUUUCGUAGAUAUCGAGAGGAACACCGGUGGCGAAGGCGGCCUUCUGGACAGUGACUGACGCUGAGACGCGAAAGCGUGGGGAGCAAACAGG
rnacentral:rRNA from 1 species